UGGGGAUCUCCGGGCUCUGCAGGCUGCUGAAGCCAGAGCCGAGCCCGCCGGGCAGGAGGUUCCCGGGGCUGCCCAGAGCAGCUCAUCCUGCAUGUUUUGAUGAUGCGCAGCAGCGACCGCUGAGGAGGAACAGGGAGGGCAGCGGCGACCCGGCUGCCGGACGAACCGGCUACAGCGGGCGGCAAGGGGCAGAGGAAUGAGGCGAGGCGGCUGCGGCCGCUCCGGGCAGGGAAGGACCCGGCGGUGGGCAGGGGCUGAGGCGGCCGUCUGCGGGAGCUCCCCUGACAGCGGCUCGGCGCAGAGGUGAACCCCCACCUCAGCACACUAAAGAGACAAAGAUAAUUAAUAAUCUUUGUGGCGAAGUGUUGGGGGGCGGGGGGAGAGUUUAAACACCCGCCUAUCGCCAACCACUAUGCAAGUCCCAAAAUAGCUUGUUUAUAGAAUAAAGCUCUCUUCUUUCCCAUCAA